UAAAAAUUAAGAAAGUGAGAGCUUGUCUUAGCAUAAAGAUUGCCUCUAUUCUCCCUGACUUUCUGGUUGAUGAGCUAACUGGAUUUACCCAGUCUCUAAGUACUUGAGGAAGUACCUGUGAUCUGUGGGCCAUUGGAUCCCUUAGCUCCUGGUCAGCCUGGGCCCCAGCCUGGGGGAGGCCCGCGACCCAUUCCUGUAUGACCAACAUCAAGCUUCAACCUUGCAGAAGAAAACAGCAGCCACCAAGAAUCAGUGUGAUCCAGCAAUCAUUUAGGACUUUAUUCACAUUUUUUACUUACUAUUAUGCCUUCCUUACAGCUUACCCAGCCAGCCAGGACUGUUUGAACAAGUGACAUUAUUUUAUCACUGGCUACUGAAUUCAGCCCUUUAUUUCAUAGCCAUUAAUGUUUUCAGAGUCCUCCGAGGAGACAAGAUGGCAGCCAGGCUGUUUGGGAUUUGCAAAUGCACUGUGGGCCCAGGACUGGC